rnacentral:rRNA from 1 species
GCCUACGGGCGGCAGCAGUGGGGAAUCUUGGACAAUGGGCGAAAGCCUGAUCCAGCCAUGCCGCGUGGAUGAUGAAGGCCCUAGGGUUGUAAAAUCCUUUCGUUGGGGACGAUAAUGACGGUACCCAAAGAAGAAGCUCCGGCUAACUUCGUGCCAGCAGCCGCGGUAAUACGAAGGGGGCUAGCGUUGUUCGGAUUUACUGGGCGUAAAGCGCGUGUAGGCGGGUCGUUAAGUUGGGGGUGAAAUCCCGAGGCUCAACCUCGGAACUGCCUUCAAAACUGGCGACCUGGACUCAAGCAGAGGCAAGUGGAAUUGCGAGUGUAGAGGUGAAAUUCGUAGAUAUUCGCAGGAACACCAGUGGCGAAGGCGACUUGCUGGGCUUGUGGUGACGCUGAGACGCGAAAGCGUGGGGAGCAAACAGGAUUAGAUACCCUUGUAGUC